CCCAACGGCUGUUUUAGCGCAUGCUGCGCCGGACGCAAACGCCCCUCCCCCUCGCUCAGGCACAAGAGAGACAGCAGCGCCGACUUCUCUGUUCUUCCCACCUUCCACUCGCUCGAGAGCUGAAGGCCUGCGCGCACCUUCACAGGAGGGGUCAGAGCGUCUGCUGGCCGUCCAUACACUCCUCACAUACGCCAUUGCGCGGGCUCAGGCACACCACACACACACAUACAUAUAUAUAUAUAUAUACAUAUAUACAUAAACAUAUAUACAUAUAUACAUAUAUUAUAUACGCACAUCUGUGCAGCGCGCGCCACGGGCGCAUCCGCCUAUCGAUAGCGGUGCUCACCUCGUCUUCUCAACGUUUCUUCUUCGCGCGCUUUGGUUGCCGCCGCUGGAGGAUUUGGGGACUUCUGCGCCGUUCACGCCUCAGCUCGACCGCUGCCACUGGCAGAGAAGCCGCGGAAGCCAUAUACACGCCGACACACGCACGGAGGCAGAGACACAAUGGACGUCCUGCACACGGCCUCUGUUGAUGGACGCAUCUGCUGCGCGGCCAACGAGGAGGUAUGGGUAGCGAAGCAGAGCGGAGGCAUCGCCGUCUUCUCGGCGCGCUCCGGAGACCAUAUGACGGACAUCGCCCUCAAGGCCGAUGACGGCUCAACGGCGGCGCAGGUCACACACAUGAUGGCGGUCUUUGGGGAGGUGUGGGUGAGCACGAAAGAGGGUCGCGUUCACUUCUACGAGCUCGCCACGCACACGCCGGUGGACUCAAUGCUCAUUCCUGGGGCAGAGAAAAAGGUGCAGGUGGUGAAUCUCUCCUUCAACGGCCACGUCGCCGUCAUAGCCACCGCCAGCGGUUCUGUGUAUGUUCAUCACCCUCUGAAUCACCAGCGGCUCGGCACCCUUUCCACGUCCACAUCCCCGUGCACGGCAGCGAUUCAGUUCUACAGCUUCGUCGUUGGCGGGGAUGCGAGCGGUGCCUUGUAUCUCUGGGACCCGGUAACCGGUGAGUGCGUCAUCUAUCACGGCGGGAGCAAGAGUGAAGUCGUGGCGCUGCUGCACGAGCCUACCACCGGAACGAUAUGGGUGUCCCGAGCGAAUGAGCACGUCGAUAUAUACGCAGUGAAGGACGGAGCGCUGCAACUGCAGCGUCGGGUGAGCGGGAUCGGGCGGGUUACAGGGAUGGUGGCGGUGUCUGGCACUGUGGUGGCGACCACCUGCACGAAGCGCCUCGUACAGAUCGAGGCGACCACGGCGAAGAUCACUGUCAGCGUGGCGGGCGCGCACGACAAGUUCAUCCACGGCUGCUGCAAGGCGAUGCACCAGGAGGUGGCGCAGGUGUGGAGUGUCGGCAAUGAUGGCACGCUGCGCGUCUGGCAUGUUGCAGGGCUGCAGGUGCCGGUGGUGCCUCUGCCGAAGCUACCGCCCGCCGCGCAAGCCGCGCUCACCUCCGCCGUGGAGGAUACGCUGAAUCCACAGCAGAGCGAGCUGCGGGCGGAAGCGCAGGCAGAGCUGCAUAGCCGGAUGAGCAUGGAAGACAAGCUCAUGAAGGCGCGUGAGGAGGCGCAGGAGCUGCGACUGCGCAUCUUUAAGGAGGAGGAAAGGCGGCUCAUGGUGGAUGCGGCGCUGACAGCAGAGCGGAAGCACCGCAAGGAGCUAGAGGAGCGCAACGCGAAGCUGGCGAAGGAGGUGACAGACAUUGCGUCUAACGUGGCCGUCGCCGAGCGGGAGCGCAACGGCCUGCGCGCCGAAGUAACGCAGCUCAAGAUGGACCUUUCCAACGCCCGCACGGAGACGAGCGUCAAACAGACGGAGAAGUCAAGCAUCGAGAGGCAGCUGUCGGAGGAGCGGACAAAGAAAGACACGUUGGAGCAACGCCUGCGCGACGUGGAGGGGAUGCUGAGCUCCCUGCAAGCGGAGCACCGCCGCAUGUGUGAGGCACUGGGCAGCGCUACCGCCCACCAGCAGACGAGCAAGGCGCCCACGGAUGCCUUGAUGAGCAGAGGUGCGGCGCUGAGCGCGGAGCUGGAGCACGCGCGAAAGAUGAACGCGCUUAUGGGGUCUGCCAUCGCGUCGAUGGAGUACACCAUCCGCCGCCGCGAGGAGGAGGACCGUGACUUGGUGGCGCUGCUGAAUGCCUUUCGUGGUCGCGUCGCCGACCGUGUCACAGACCCGAACCUCUCUGCGCUUCUCCUCGCCACCAUCGUACGCAAUGCCCCGCGCUUCGACCUUCAGUGCGACGAGUUCACAAAGGCGGAGCUGAUGGAGCGCAACGGGCCAUUCCUGCAGUUCAUUCAGUCCCUCCGCGCCACCGACCCGGAGGCUUACCGGAAGCUAAUGCAGUACCUGCAGAACCCCUCCAUAGCCCAGGGGCUGCCGGCUGAUACGCAGGCGCUGCUAGACCGCUUCGUCGCGCUCGCCUCGAAGGAAGGCGAGGUGUCCGGCGAGGACAUCGCCAACUUUAAAAAGACGAUUCCCUGCCUCACAGACUCGGUGGCAGUGCAGGGCGCCGGCCAGAUUGGAAGUGGCAGCAGCACCGCUCCGGCUGAUUUUCCGGCGUUGCUCGGCGCCGACGCGAGUGGUAGCGGCAAACCUGGGGGAGAUGUCGUGGCGCCGGGCAGGCUCCUUGGCAACAACACCGACGGCGGUCUCACAAUACAGGAGGAGGUUGUGAACAAUGCCUUGAUGCGCGAGCUACACGGGCAGCGGGUGAUAGAUGAGAACUACAUUCGCGAGCAGCAGACCAUGUUCGAGUUCAUUCUCAAGACGCGCCGACUUCUAGUCGAGAGCCUUGCUAUUCUGCACAAGCGCACAGUGAGCGCGCGGCAGGUGGUGGAUGCACUGUGUGUGAACACCUCUGCCCACAGCACUUCCUCGCCGGCCACGACGCCGUCGCGGAGGAGUCUUCAGACAUUGCACAGCAUCUUCAGCGGCGUCGUGCGCGAGCUGGAGGAGCUGACCACCGAAGUGAUCCAGCGCUACCUCUCUGGAGCUGAAAAGCAGCGUCUUGGUGUGGCGCAGUAAAGUGUGUGGGGGGGGGCGCGUGAGCCGUAGCCUCAGCGGGAUAGGGCAGCAGAGGGAGGUGAAGGCGCAGAGGAGCUCCGUGUGUCCGCUGGACUGCGCACCUCAGUCGCGCUGCUGCUGCCGCUGGUGCUCUCUGCCGACAAACGGAGCGCCUCUACACACCAUGUAUACCCAGUAGAUUACAUAGACUAGACGGCGAGCAUACGUGCACGUCUCUCUUUCCACCUCCUCUCUUGUCUUGCCCCCCUCCCCCUCAAAUCAGCCGCCGUUCUCGGCGGCAGCGCGACUGUACGCUGCGGCGUGACGAGACACGUGUGCUGUGCUCCUGCUCGCGCGCUUGUCGCCGUUGUUGUUGCUGACGAAAGGGGGGGGGCGGACUGAUUCGAGGGCGAGCCGUCGAGUGCCCUUUGCGCUUGAUCGGCCUUUUGACCUUUCCACCUUUUUCUACGGCGACGCGUCGGUGUCGGUGCGCGUGCAAAGACGAGGGCGAACUAAGAAAGCAGGAAACCACGGACUCGAGAGCGAGCGUGUAGCGUCGCUGCGCUGCAUAAAUCGCUUCCCGGCUGUACACGAGGUCCGUCCGCACAUCGGCGCACUCGAUGGCACUCGCUGAUCUGCCCAGGGGCGCUGCCACACGCCGCCGUUUCCUCGUUUUCCGUGAAGGGCACGUUUUCGUUGCUGCUCCGCUUGCACCGCGUGUGUGCGGAAGACUCCUACACAUACACACAGACACAUGCACGUACACGGAGAUGUACAGCUCUUCGUGCUCUCCACCACUACCCGCGGCCCUUUCCAUCUCCCACCGUUGCCUGUUACUCGACGACUGGGUGUUCAAGAUGCGCACCCGUACAUUUCUCCGUGUAGUCUAGCGCUCUCUAUGUUCUUCGCAGCGCCCUCGCCUGAUGAUGAGGAGCACCUCCGUGCGCGGUGCCACAAUGUUCAGUGGCCCCACCCUGUGUGGCUAAGCCAGGGCGAUGCACCGCUACUUGUGCCCAGCGGUUAGACCCUGGACGGCGUGGCGUCGGAGCGACCUGCGACAGUGAACACGCCCGUGCCAUCCAUGCGAUAGGCCGCGUGCCAGCGCGACUCGGACGCAUGUCACCCUCGGCCUUCGCACCGCCUACUGGUGCGGGGAGAGCCCGCGUGUCACACCCCGAG
rnacentral:misc_RNA from 1 species